AUACUUAGUACGGCGAGUGAAGCGGUAAAAGCUCAAAUUUGAAAUCUGGUACUUUCAGUGCCCGAGUUGUAAUUUGUAGAAUUUGUCUUUGAUUAGGUCCUUGUCUAUGUUCCUUGGAACAGGACGUCAUAGAGGGUGAGAAUCCCGUUUGGCGAGGAUACCUUUUCUCUGUAAGACUUUUUCGAAGAGUCGAGUUGUUUGGGAAUGCAGCUCAAAGUGGGUGGUAAAUUCCAUCUAAAGCUAAAUAUUGGCGAGAGACCGAUAGCGAACAAGUACAGUGAUGGAAAGAUGAAAAGAACUUUGAAAAGAGAGUGAAAAAGUACGUGAAAUUGUUGAAAGGGAAGGGCAUUUGAUCAGACAUGGUGUUUUUUGCAUGCACUCGCCUCUCGUGGGCUUGGGCCUCUCAAAAAUUUCACUGGGCCAACAUCAAUUCUGGCAGUAGGAUAAAUCAUUAAGAAUGUAGCUACCUCGGUAGUGUUAUAGCUUAUUGGAAUACUGCUAGCUGGGAUUGAGGACUGCGCUUCGGCAAGGAUGUUGGCAUAAUGGUUAAAUGCCGCCCGUCUUGA
rnacentral:rRNA from 1 species